rnacentral:rRNA from 1 species
CGAGUUCUGAUUAUUGAAAGGUGCUUGCAUCUUGAUUUAAUUUUGAACGAGUGGCGGACGGGUGAGUAACACGUGGGUAACCUGCCCUUAAGUGGGGGAUAACAUUUGGAAACAGAUGCUAAUACCGCAUAAAUCCAAGAACCGCAUGGUUCUUGGCUGAAAGAUGGCGUAAGCUAUCGCUUUUGGAUGGACCCGCGGCGUAUUAGCUAGUUGGUGAGGUAACGGCUCACCCAAGGCAAUGAUACGUAGCCGAACUGAGAGGUUGAUCGGCCACCAUUGGGACUGAGACACGGCCCCAAACUCCUACGGGAGGCAGCAGUAGGGAAUCUUUCCACAAUGGACGCAAGUCUGAUGGAGCAACGCCGCGUGAGUGAAGAAGGCUUUCGGGUCGUAAAACUCUGUUGUUGGAGAAGAAUGGUCGGCAGAGUAACUGUUGUCGGCGUGACGGUAUCCAACCAGAAAGCCACGGCUAACUACGUGCCAGCAGCCGCGGUAAUACGUAGGUGGCAAGCGUUAUCCGGAUUUAUUGGGCGUAAAGCGAGCGCAGGCGGUUUUUUAAGUCUGAUGUGAAAGCCCUCGGCUUAACCGAGGAAGUGCAUCGGAAACUGGGAAACUUGAGUGCAGAAGAGGACAGUGGAACUCCAUGUGUAGCGGUGAAAUGCGUAGAUAUAUGGAAGAACACCAGUGGCGAAGGCGGCUGUCUGGUCUGUAACUGACGCUGAGGCUCGAAAGCAUGGGUAGCGAACAGGAUUAGAUACCCUGGUAGUCCAUGCCGUAAACGAUGAAUGCUAGGUGUUGGAGGGUUUCCGCCCUUCAGUGCCGCAGCUAACGCAUUAAGCAUUCCGCCUGGGGAGUACGACCGCAAGGUUGAAACUCAAAGGAAUUGACGGGGGCCCGCACAAGCGGUGGAGCAUGUGGUUUAAUUCGAAGCAACGCGAAGAACCUUACCAGGUCUUGACAUCUUUUGAUCACCUGAAGAGAUCAGGUUUCCCCCUUCGGGGGCAAAAUGACAGGUGGUGCAUGGUUGUCGUCAGCUCGUGUCGUGAGAUGUUGGGUUAAGUCCCGCAACGAGCGCAACCCUUAUGACUAGUUGCCAGCAUUUAGUUGGGCACUCUAGUAAGACUGCCGGUGACAAACCGAAGGAAGGUGGGGAUGACGUCAAAUCAUCAUGCCCCUUAUGACCUGGGCUACACACGUGCUACAAUGGAUGGUACAACGAGUUGCGAGACCGCGAGGUCAAGCUAAUCUCUUAAAGCCAUUCUCAGUUCGGACUGUAGGCUGCAACUCGCCUACACGAAGUCGGAAUCGCUAGUAAUCGCGGAUCAGCACGCCGCGGUGAAUACGUUCCCGGGCCUUGUACACACCGCCCGUCACACCAUGAGAGUUUGUAACACCCGAAGCCGGUGGCGAACCCUUUAGGAGC